rnacentral:rRNA from 1 species
GAGGGGCCCGCGCCCGAUUAGCUAGUUGGUGAGGUAACGGCUCACCAAGGCUUUGAUCGGUAGCCGGUCUGAGAGGAUGGCCGGCCACACUGGAACUGAGACACGGUCCAGACUCCUACGGGAGGCAGCAGUGGGGAAUAUUGCGCAAUGGGCGAAAGCCUGACGCAGCGACGCCGCGUGGGGGAUGAAGCUCCUCGGAGUGUAAACCCCUUUCGACCCGGACGAAUGACCCGCAAGGGUUUGACGGUACGGGUAUAAGAAGCCCCGGCUAACUACGUGCCAGCAGCCGCGGUAAUACGUAGGGGGCCAGCGUUGCUCGGAAUUACUGGGCGUAAAGGGUUCGUAGGUGGUGCGGCAAGUUGGGAGUGAAAUCUCUGGGCUUAACCCAGAGGCUGCUUUCAAAACUGCCGCGCUCGAGUGCGAGAGAGGUCAGUGGAAUUGCAGGUGUAGCGGUGAAAUGCGUAGAUAUCUGCAGGAACACCCGUGGCGAAGGCGGCUGACUGGAUCGCAACUGACACUGAGGAACGAAAGCUAGGGGAGCAAACAGGAUUAGAUACCCUGGUAGUCCUAGCCCUAAACCAUCGGAACUUGGGGUGGCCCGCGUAGGCGGGUCGUCCCGUAGCUAACGCGUUAAGUUCCGCGCCUGGGGAGUA